rnacentral:snRNA from 1 species
GUCCCUUCGGGCACAUCCGAUAAAAUUAGAAUGAUACAGAGAAGAUUAGUACAACCCUGUACAAAGAUGACACGCACAAAUCGGGAAAUUGUCCAAUUUUUU